rnacentral:rRNA from 1 species
GACGAACGCUGGCGGCGUGCUUAACACAUGCAAGUCGAACGGAAAGGCCCUGCUUUUGUGGGGUGCUCGAGUGGCGAACGGGUGAGUAACACGUGAGUAACCUGCCCUUGACUUUGGGAUAACUUCAGGAAACUGGGGCUAAUACCGGAUAGGAGCUCCUGCUGCAUGGUGGGGGUUGGAAAGUUUCGGCGGUUGGGGAUGGACUCGCGGCUUAUCAGCUUGUUGGGGGGGUAGUGGCUUACCAAGGCUUUGACGGGUAGCCGGCCUGAGAGGGUGACCGGCCACAUUGGGACUGAGAUACGGCCCAGACUCCUACGGGAGGCAGCAGUGGGAAUAUUGCACAAUGGGCGGAAGCCUGAUGCAGCAACGCCGCGUGCGGGAUGACGGCCUUCGGGUUGUAAACCGCUUUCGCCUGUGACGAAGCGUGAGUGACGGUAAUGGGUAAAGAAGCACCGGCUAACUACGCG